GCCUAACAAGCUAAACCCACACCAAUCGCCUAACCCAGAUCUCACUCACCUCUCACCUUACUCCGAUCGCCCAACCCUCAAGCUCUCUCCCUCAGUCUUGGCUCUCAUUCAACCUCUCUAUUUGUACUGAUAUACAAAACUAUUAUAAUUUGUUUAUGCACCAAUGCCUCAUACAAAGGAAGAGCUUGAAAGACAUUUGAUGAAUGCUUUUACCUAAUAGAAUAUAGAGACAAAAAUUUCUACAAUCAUAGUAGAUAACUGCCCUACAAAUGAUGGUAUGAUCUCUAUAGUUCUUGAAAAAUUGUAUGGUGAUCUUUUAUGUGAUAGGGCCAUAUUGCAUAUGAGGUGUUGUGCUCAAUUUUUUGAAUCUUAUUGUGAAGGAUGGGUUGUCUACUAUUGAGCAUUCACUUGGAAGAAUUAGAGACAGUAUAGCAUUUUGGUCAGCCACUCUUCAAAGAGCUGAAAAUUUUGAGGAAGUCGCCAAACAAUUGAAUCUUACCUAUGAGAAAAAGUUAAGUUUAGACUGUAAAACUUGUUGGAACUCAACAUAUCUGAUGCUUCAAACAGCAAUUCAGUACAAGGAUGUCUUUCCUAGAUUAAGGAUUAGGGAAAAAUAUUAUACUAAUGUACUUAGUGAGCUUGAUUGGGAACUGGCAAAUAAGGUUACAAAAAAAUUACAAAAUUUUUAUACCAUCACUCAAUUGUUUUUUGGGAGAAAAUUUUCAACAGCCAAUUGUUUCUUUGUUUCAAUUUGUCAAUUGAGAAAUAAAAUGGUGGAAUAGAUGAAUUUUGAUGAUGAGAUUAUGAAGGCCAUGUCUAGUAAAAUGUUUGAGAAGUUUGAGAAAUAUUGGAGUUUGGUUCAUAUUGUUGUAGCUGUAGCUAUAACUGUGAUAUUGGAUCCUCGAUGUAAGAUGAAAGUGAUAAAAUAUUAUUUUCUUUUCCUAUGAUUAAUGGUGAGAAUGCAUGGAGUGAGAUUGAGCAAGAUAAGACAACUUGUUAUAAUUUGCUCACUGAUUACCAAUCUAAAGUCAAGCCUAAAUCUCAUGGUGUCUCUUCAGUUCUGUCUGCUUAAGUGACAGAAACCAAAGAUUUGAAUAAUCUAGUUGCCUUUCUUAGCUCUUUCUCUAGCAAUGUUCAUGUGAAAUCUGAAUUAAAUCAUUAUCUUUAGGAGCCUGUUUUGCCUUAGAUGCAAGAUUUUGAUAUUCUUACUCGGUGGAAGGCAAAUGGGAUAAAAUAUCCUACAUUACAGCAGAUUGCUCAAGAUUUCUUAGCCAUGCCAAUGUCUACAGUUGCAUUUGAGUCUGCUUUUAGUACUGGUGGUAGAGUUGUUAGUAUUCAUCGAAGUAGGCUAUAUAAGGAUACUUUAGAAGCAUUGAUGUGCUCACAAAAUUGGUUAUGGGCUGAAAUCGAAGCUUUUUGUUCAACUGAGGAAGCAAGUUGCUUAUGUGAUGUCGAGGAAGAUGUGGAUUGAAGCAUGUAUUUUACAAUUUCAAUAUGUGUAUUGAAGGAAUUUUAAUCAAGCCUCGAGAUUUUGAAGCUCCAAGAUUGUGUUUCUAUGAGUUGUAUGAGUUGUUUUAGAAGUGUUGUA